rnacentral:rRNA from 1 species
UGGGGAAUAUUGGACAAUGGGCGAAAGCCUGAUCCAGCCAUGCCGCGUGUGUGAAGAAGGUCUUCGGAUUGUAAAGCACUUUAAGUUGGGAGGAAGGGUAGUAAGCGAAUACCUUGCUGUUUUGACGUUACCGACAGAAUAAGCACCGGCUAACUCUGUGCCAGCAGCUGCGGCAAUACAGAGGGUGCAAGCGUUAAUCGGAAUUACUGGGCGUAAAGCGCGCGUAGGUGGUUCGUUAAGUUGAAUGUGAGAGCCCCUGGCUCAACCUGGGAACUGCAUCCAAAACUGGCGAACUCGAGUAGGGCAGAGGGUGGUGGAAUUUCCUGUGUAGCGGUGAAAUGCGUAGAUAUAGAAAGCAACACCACUGGCGAAGGCGACCACCUGGGCUCAUACUGACACUGAGGUGCGAAAGCGUGGGGAGCAAACAGG